rnacentral:tRNA from 1 species
GGCCUAAUAGCUCAGUUGGUUAGAGUGUCAUUCUAAUAACGUGAAGGUUACAGGUUCGAGACCUGUAUGGGCUA